GAUGAACGCUGGCGGCGUGCCUAAUACAUGCAAGUCGAGCGAACAGACGAGGAGCUUGCUCCUCUGACGUUAGCGGCGGACGGGUGAGUAACACGUGGAUAACCUACCUAUAAGACUGGGAUAACUUCGGGAAACCGGAGCUAAUACCGGAUAAUAUAUUGAACCGCAUGGUUCAAUAGUGAAAGACGGUUUUGCUGUCACUUAUAGAUGGAUCCGCGCCGCAUUAGCUAGUUGGUAAGGUAACGGCUUACCAAGGCAACGAUGCGUAGCCGACCUGAGAGGGUGGUAGGCCCCACUGGAACUGAGACACGGGCCAGACUCCUACGGGAGGCAGCAGUAGGGAAUCUUCCGCAAUGGGCGAAAGCCUGACGGAGCAACGCCGCGUGAGUGAUGAAGGUCUUCGGAUCGUAAAACUCUGUUAUUAGGGAAGAACAAAUGUGUAAGUAACUAUGCACGUCUUGACGGUACCUAAUCAGAAAGCCACGGCUAACUACGUG
rnacentral:rRNA from 1 species